UACAGAGGGUGCGAGCGUUAAUCGGAAUUACUGGGCGUAAAGCGUGCGUAGGCGGUUUGUUAAGACAGGUGUGAAAUCCCCGGGCUUAACCUGGGAACUGCGCUUGUUACUGGCAGACUGGAGUGUGUCAGAGGGGGGUGGAAUUCCAGGUGUAGCAGUGAAAUGCGUAGAUAUCUGGAGGAACACCGAUGGCGAAGGCAGCCCCCUGGGCUAACACUGACGCUGAUGCACGAAAGCGUGGGGAGCAAACAGG
rnacentral:rRNA from 1 species